rnacentral:rRNA from 1 species
GCGAUACAGGGUGACAGCCCCGUACACAAAAAUGCACAUAUUGUGAGCUCGAUGAGUAGGGCGGGACACGUGGUAUCCUGUCUGAAUAUGGGGGGACCAUCCUCCAAGGCUAAAUACUCCUGACUGACCGAUAGUGAACCAGUACCGUGAGGGAAAGGCGAAAAGAACCCCGGCGAGGGGAGUGAAAAAGAACCUGAAACCGUGUACGUACAAGCAGUGGGAGCCUCUUAAUGGGGUGACUGCGUACCUUUUGUAUAAUGGGUCAGCGACUUAUAUUCUGUAGCAAGGUUAACCGAAUAGGGGAGCCGAAGGGAAACCGAGUCUUAACUGGGCGUUAAGUUGCAGGGUAUAGACCCGAAACCCGGUGAUCUAGCCAUGGGCAGGUUGAAGGUUGGGUAACACUAACUGGAGGACCGAACCGACUAAUGUUGAAAAAUUAGCGGAUGACUUGUGGCUGGGGGUGAAAGGCCAAUCAAACCGGGAGAUAGCUGGUUCUCCCCGAAAGCUAUUUAGGUAGCGCCUCGUGAAUUCAUCUCCGGGGGUAGAGCACUGUUUCGGCAAGGGGGUCAUCCCGACUUACCAACCCGAUGCAAACUGCGAAUACCGGAGAAUGUUAUCACGGGAGACACACGGCGGGUGCUAACGUCCGUCGUGAAGAGGGAAACAACCCAGACCGCCAGCUAAGGUCCCAAAGUCAUGGUUAAGUGGGAAACGAUGUGGGAAGGCCCAGACAGCCAGGAUGUUGGCUUAGAAGCAGCCAUCAUUUAAAGAAAGCGUAAUAGCUCACUGGUCGAGUCGGCCUGCGCGGAAGAUGUAACGGGGCUAAACCAUGCACCGAAGCUGCGGCAGCGACACUAUGUGUUGUUGGGUAGGGGAGCGUUCUGUAAGCCUGUGAAGGUGGCCUGUGAGGGUUGCUGGAGGUAUCAGAAGUGCGAAUGCUGACAUAAGUAACGAUAAAGCGGGUGAAAAGCCCGCUCGCCGGAAGACCAAGGGUUCCUGUCCAACGUUAAUCGGGGCAGGGUGAGUCGACCCCUAAGGCGAGGCCGAAAGGCGUAGUCGAUGGGAAACAGGUUAAUAUUCCUGUACUUGGUGUUACUGCGAAGGGGGGACGGAGAAGGCUAUGUUGGCCGGGCGACGGUUGUCCCGGUUUAAGCGUGUAGGCUGGUUUUCCAGGCAAAUCCGGAAAACCAAGGCUGAGGCGUGAUGACGAGGCACUACGGUGCUGAAGCGACAAAUGCCCUGCUUCCAGGAAAAGCCUCUAAGCAUCAGGUAACAUCAAAUCGUACCCCAAACCGACACAGGUGGUCAGGUAGAGAAUACCAAGGCGCUUGAGAGAACUCGGGUGAAGGAACUAGGCAAAAUGGUGCCGUAACUUCGGGAGAAGGCACGCUGAUAUGUAGGUGAAGCGACUUGCUCGUGGAGCUGAAAUCAGUCGAAGAUACCAGCUGGCUGCAACUGUUUAUUAAAAACACAGCACUGUGCAAACACGAAAGUGGACGUAUACGGUGUGACGCCUGCCCGGUGCCGGAAGGUUAAUUGAUGGGGUUAGCGGCAACGCGAAGCUCUUGAUCGAAGCCCCGGUAAACGGCGGCCGUAACUAUAACGGUCCUAAGGUAGCGAAAUUCCUUGUCGGGUAAGUUCCGACCUGCACGAAUGGCGUAAUGAUGGCCAGGCUGUCUCCACCCGAGACUCAGUGAAAUUGAACUCGCUGUGAAGAUGCAGUGUACCCGCGGCAAGACGGAAAGACCCCGUGAACCUUUACUAUAGCUUGACACUGAACAUUGAGCCUUGAUGUGUAGGAUAGGUGGGAGGCUUUGAAGUGUGGACGCCAGUCUGCAUGGAGCCGACCUUGAAAUACCACCCUUUAAUGUUUGAUGUUCUAACGUUGGCCCGUAAUCCGGGUUGCGGACAGUGUCUGGUGGGUAGUUUGACUGGGGCGGUCUCCUCCUAAAGAGUAACGGAGGAGCACGAAGGUUGGCUAAUCCUGGUCGGACAUCAGGAGGUUAGUGCAAUGGCAUAAGCCAGCUUGACUGCGAGCGUGACGGCGCGAGCAGGUGCGAAAGCAGGUCAUAGUGAUCCGGUGGUUCUGAAUGGAAGGGCCAUCGCUCAACGGAUAAAAGGUACUCCGGGGAUAACAGGCUGAUACCGCCCAAGAGUUCAUAUCGACGGCGGUGUUUGGCACCUCGAUGUCGGCUCAUCACAUCCUGGGGCUGAAGUAGGUCCCAAGGGUAUGGCUGUUCGCCAUUUAAAGUGGUACGCGAGCUGGGUUUAGAACGUCGUGAGACAGUUCGGUCCCUAUCUGCCGUGGGCGCUGGAGAACUGAGGGGGGCUGCUCCUAGUACGAGAGGACCGGAGUGGACGCAUCACUGGUGUUCGGGUUGUCAUGCCAAUGGCACUGCCCGGUAGCUAAAUGCGGAAGAGAUAAGUGCUGAAAGCAUCUAAGCACGAAACUUGCCCCGAGAUGAGUUCUCCCUGAGACUUAGAGUCUCCUGAAGGAACGUUGAAGACGACGACGUUGAUAGGCCGGGUGUGUAAGCGCAGCGAUGCGUUGAGCUAACCGGUACUAAUGAACCGUGAGGCUUAACCUUACAACGCCGAAG